rnacentral:rRNA from 1 species
AUUGAAUGCUGGCGGCAGGCCUAACACAUGCAAGUCGGGCGCGCGGCGGACGGGUGAGUAAUGUAUGUGGCUCUGCCUGAUGGAGUGGGAUAACUACUGGAAACGGUAGCUAAUACCGCAUACCAUCAGCUUCACCCAUAUGGGAUUAGCUUGUAGGUGAGGUAACGGCUCACCUAGGCGACGAUCCCUAGCUGGUCUGAGAGGAUGAUCAGCCAGACUGGAACUGAGACAAGGGCCAGACUCCUACGGGAGGCAGCAGUGGGGAAUAUUGCACAAUGGGCGCAAGCCUGAUGCAGCAAUGCCGCGUGUAUGAAGAAGGCCUUCGGGUUGUAAAGUACUUUCAGUCGGGAGGCGUUACCGACAGAAGAAGCACCGGCUAACUCCGUGCCAGCAGCCGCGGUAAUAC